AAGAAAUUAGUUUAAACUAAAACAUUAACUUGUCAAGUUAAAAAUAUUAAAAUUAAUAUUUCUUA
rnacentral:tRNA from 1 species